rnacentral:rRNA from 1 species
GACGGAGGAUGCAAGCGUUAUCCGGAAUGAUUGGGCGUAAAGCGUCUGCAGGUGGCAGUUCAAGUCUGCUGUCAAAGACCGGGGCUUAACUUCGGAAAGGCAGUGGAAACUGAACAGCUAGAGUAUGGUAGGGGCAGAGGGAAUUCCUGGUGUAGCGGUGAAAUGCGUAGAGAUCAGGAAGAACAUCGGUGGCGAAGGCGCUCUGCUGGACCAUAACUGACACUCAGGGACGAAAGCUAGGGUAGCAAAUGGG